rnacentral:sRNA from 1 species
GGACACUGAGAAAGCACAUUACCUUCUGUUGUAAUUGAGAUAUGUUGAGAUGUCUGUCCAGCUCACAGUUUUUUUCUCUUCAUUGGGAAUAUUUUCUAUGGAAAUUUCUAGUUGUCUGAGUUCAUUUGAAGUUUUAAAUUUGCCAAUGUGUGCUGAGAGCAUGCUACUAUCCUCUAAGUGUUGUUAAGAGCUAAGGAUAUACUGUCCAUCUGACACAAAUUAGAAUUACCAAAGUAUGUAGCCUCACCUAAAGGAUGAUCUCUAGAGCCCUGUUUGAUGUUGAGAAGACAUAUGGCAGUUGUGGGUGGAACUUUCUGGUAUGUCCUGUCCACAAUGAUCUACAGCUGCCUAUCACUUCAAUUUGAUUCUAUUAGGUUACUGCUGACUGGAAUCAGGAAGCUUAUCAAGUCAACAAAAAGGGUUUUGGUUCUGCAGCCACUUCCCCAUCAGGCUGAGUGUGUGACACGUUGAAAGGAGAUGGUUAAAGCUGGAACUGCAGAAUUUCUCUGGCCAUCUGAGUCCUCCAGACAGCCCCAAGCCCUCUCUGUGUUCGAGUAUUAUAAUAAAACAAAUUAUUCUGGUGUCACAGACCUUGAA